UGCCAGCAGCCGCGGUAAUACGGAGGGGGCUAGCGUUGUUCGGAAUUAUUGGGUUUAAAGGGUGCGUAGGCGGAAUAAUAAGUCAGUGGUGAAAUCCUGCGGCUCAACCGUAGAACUGCCAUUGAUACUGUUAUUCUUGAAUAUAGUUGAGGUUGGCGGAAUGUGUAAUGUAGCGGUGAAAUGCUUAGAUAUUACACAGAACACCGAUUGCGAAGGCAGCUUGCUAAACUAUGAUUGACGCUGAUGCACGAAAGCGUGGGGAGCGAACAGGAUUAGAUA
rnacentral:rRNA from 1 species